CCUACGGGGCGCAGCAGUGGGGAAUAUUGCACAAUGGGCGCAAGCCUGAUGCAGCCAUGCCGCGUGUGAGAAGAAGGCCUUCGGGUUGUAAAGCACUUUCAGCGGGGAGGAAGGCGGUGAGGUUAAUAACCUCAUCGAUUGACGUUACCCGCAGAAGAAGCACCGGCUGACUCCGUACCAGCAGCCGCGGUAAUACGGAGGGUGCAAGCGUUAAUCGGAAUUACUGGGCGUAAAGCGCACGCAGGCGGUCUGUCAAGUCGGACGUGAAAUCCCCGGGCUCAACCUGGGAACUGCAUCCGAAACUGGCAGGCUAGAGUCUUGUAGAGGGGGGUAGAAUUCCAGGUGUAGCGGUCAAAUGCGUAGAGCUCUGGAGGAAUACCGGUGGCGACGGCGGCCCCCUGGACAAAGACUGACGCUCAGGUGCGAACGCGUGGGCAGCAACCAGGAUUAGAUACCCGGGUAGUC
rnacentral:rRNA from 1 species